UAUCUGAUUAAUGCUACCCAUCUUGGUUUUCUUUAUAAAACUUAAGUCUUUGUGGGUUAACGAGUGAGGGAGGCCGUAUUGUUAGUAUGAGCUCAAGAUUGGGAAGACUAAAUGGCAAACAAAAUGAAGAGCACAUUGAAAUUGUCAAAGCCAAGAAAAAAGCAGGAGAAACAGAGUUUUGCUCAACUGAGG